AGAGCUUAUAGUGGAUACGCCACAUCGAAUUAUUUUCAAUUCUUCUUCAUCAAUCACCACCCUAGUUCUCUAAAACCGUCGACGGCGUUUAUCAGCCACCGUCUCCGUUCAACCUUGCAUCCACUUCGCCGGAAAAUUAACAAAACUCGCGUCUUAACUCUAGUGAAUUAAAGCUGAGAAGAAAUCAAGAUGUUGGUUUGGUGAGUGAGAGAAUGGUGGAGACCAUAAGCUUGAAAUCAAUUGGCUUUGUUAAGUAAGCAUCCAUGCCAACCUUAAGGCAUUUGGCUUCAUCGCACGACAUUGCGUGCGCUGUUAGAGCAACAAUCGGAUUGCUAUAACGUCUGAUUACAUACUGAGACAACUUGACUUGAGCUGUUGUAAUUUCAGAAGUAGAGUUCAAAAUAUUCCACAUCCUCAAAAUUGGACGCUGCAGAAGUUCGUAGCGCAAACCAUACGCUAAACUACUCAGUGAUUUCGCGGUAUAAAUCUUUGUAAAAUGCCAUGUUAGUAUGGUCAAUAGCCCUAUCAAGAUUGCUAGCAUUACCUGUUUAAACAGACAUACGAUUUUCAUCAUUUCAAUAAAUUACUCCCGGCAUAAGUGAUGUAACCCUUUUUCAUCUUACAUCACUUAUGACAGAAAAUAGAGAUAUGAAACUUAAUCAUGUGUCAAAACAUAAGCAGAUAGAGUUUCACUAACCAUGAUUGCUAAUCUAACCACAAAAACACUGUAAUAGGAUGAAAGACAGUGACUACUAGCAUAUUGGAAUUCUUCUUUUUCAA